GAUGAACGCUGGCGGCGUGCCUAAUACAUGCAAGUCGAGCGAACGGACGAGAAGCUUGCUUCUCUGAUGUUAGCGGCGGACGGGUGAGUAACACGUGGAUAACCUACCUAUAAGACUGGGAUAACUUCGGGAAACCGUAGCUAAUACCGGAUAAUAUUUUGAACCGCAUGGUUCAAAAGUGAAAGACGGUCUUGCUGUCACUUAUAGAUGGAUCCGCGCUUCAUUAGCUAGUUGGUAAGGUAACGGCUUACCAAGGCAACGAUGCAUAGCCGACGUGAGAGCGGGAUGGGCGACAGUGAAAGUGACAGGCGGUCCAGACUCCUACGGGCGGCAGAGGUAGGGACGGGACGGAGCUGGGCGGAAGACUGCAGGAGGAGCGCCGGGCGGGUGAUGCAGGUCCGCGGGUCGUAAAACGCUGUUCGUGGUGAAGACCAUAUGUGCCAGUAACUGUGCGUGUGUGGCGGGAACGUAAUCAGAAGGACCCGGCUACUACGGU
rnacentral:rRNA from 1 species